rnacentral:rRNA from 1 species
CUGCUAAUAGUGCUGGCUUCUCUUUUGAGCCAGCAAUUCUUCUUAGAGGGACUGGCAACUCUCAGUUGCACGAGAUUGAGCAAUAACAGGUCUGUGAUGCCCUUAGAUGUUCUGGGCCGCACACGCGCUACACUGAAUAGAUCAACGUGUUCUCCCUCUCUGAGAAGAGCGGGUAAACCGCUGAACCCUAUUCGUGGUAGGGAUCGGGGCUUGCAAUUAUUCCCCGUGAACCAGGAAUUCCCAGUAGGCGCAAGUCAUAAGCUUGCGUCGAUUACGUCCCUGCCCUUUGUACACACCGCCCGUCGCUACUACCGAUUGAACGUUUUAGUGAGGUCCUCGGACUGUUUGGCUGGCUGAUUACUCGGCCUGCCUGGCGGGAAGACGACCAAACUGUAGCGUUUAGAGGAAGUAAAAGUCGUAACAAGGUAUC